rnacentral:rRNA from 1 species
UACGUAGGGGGCGAGCGUUGUCCGGAUUCAUUGGGCGUAAAGAGCCUCGUAGGCGGUUUGGCAAGUCGGAUGUGAAAACUCCAGGCUCAACCUGGAGCCGCCAUUCGAUACUGCUAUGACUAGAGUCCGGUAGGGGAGUGUGGAAUUCCCGGUGUAGCGGUGAAAUGCGCAGAUAUCGGGAGGAACACCGAUGGCGAAGGCAGCACUCUGGGCCGGUACUGACGCUGAGGAGCGAAAGCGUGGGGAGCGAACAGG